ACCGUGUGACGUUGGCUCGCAGAAAGGUGCUAGCCGUCGACGAGACUGGUGUUGUUUUUCCGCUUCGCCCCGAACCCUUCGUGUGGCUCGAGACUCUACCACUCCCGCUAGCCCCCGUUGUGCUGUGUGUGUGUGUGUACGAGUGUGAGUGUGUGUGUUUGUGCGUAGUGAGGGUUACUAUUGUUCCCUUUCAUAACGUGCAGAAAGUGCUUACCACGAUGCAUGGAAAACCAGCACCAGUUGAGACAGCUAUGCAUCUUUUCUGCAUCCUAACUCUGCUCUUCCACGGUAGAAAUCUUUACGGGACCUGAGACAAUUGCAUUUCUAGACGGCUUUUCGGAUACACAUAUACUAAUUUGCCGGGUUGCCAACGAUGCACAUCCUUCUCGACCUGACAGCGAGUCAAGAGAGCGAGAGCUUUACCGGAGAACUUUACCAUAAUGGGGCGUACAAAUUGGCGACAAACGACAUGGGAGGCGAGGAGCGCGAUGAGAUGGGAAAAAACACACCAUCACCAUCUGCCAAGUUGUUUGCAAGGCGGGUAUACCAUGGGGAUUAUUAAUUACGCACAUGUUUGUUCGUGGCAAAAGGGAUUUUUGCUUUCUUUGACAGCCAAACCUACUCCUUCUCUACUGUGUCCGCCCCCUUCCCUGUGUGACCGUGAACCGGCCCAGCACUGCAACUCUGUAUAUGGCACCACACUCUAGCUGCUAGACUCUGUUGUGGUUGUGUGGAGGGCAGCUGCGCGCUUGUAAAGCAUUACGCGGAACAUUCCCAACUGGAGGCGAACUUUCACUUGGGCCCCCACCACCCUGACCUUCGUAGAUAUGACGCCUCCUAUUCAACGCACCCUAAGUAUCACUACUCAAUCUCCAAGUGUGAGUUUUGGCAAUGCUCGGUGAGAAGUGAGUCACCUACUUUGUACGAAGAAAGACACGUAUUUUCACUCUCCAACUUAGGAGUGUUUGAAAUAUGAUUAUGUGUGAUCGCAUUUUCGCAUCCACAUUAGCUGCGCGCCUACGUGUGCAAGCAAGAAAAAAAACCCCGAAAUACGUAACCCUUUUUUCUUCACCUUCGUUUCUCACAUCUCACCGAGUGAAGGAUUAUUAUUUUUUUAUAGUGUCGUUUUUCUGUAAACGACUCAGAAGUAGUUUUGUGAAAUCAUAUACGAGUCACAUGACUCGCUUAAUGCACGAUAAGCGUUUAGCUACCUUUUUAUAGAUGCGGUCGUCGAAAUGGUAUUGUUGGGCUGUGUGUGCGUCAGGGGCAUACACGUAUGAGUUUCUCGGCUAGACUUGAAGGGCGUCCGUCGGCGUGCACAUCUCUGCCUGUGAGGACGAGAUUUUUGUACCGACCAGAGGCGGAAACUGCGGCAGCGGUCGUGUUUUUGGAUUCGUGCGUACGGCAUCCCGUGGUUAGCCCGACUACCCUGGCCGCUUCGAUUGCUCGCGCGCAGUUGGGAAGGAGGACGUGUGGGACUCGAACCGGGAUCGUGGUGCGGCCGACCCCUCUAGAAUGAUACUGCUUCGUCGAGAAGAAGGGAUUUGUUACUCAGUCACACGUGUGCGGCUAAGCAGCGCGCUGAAUGUCUUCUGCCUGAAAGGAAUGCACCGACAUGGACCACACUUCUGGCGCAAGCGCUUAGGCGUACCGACGAUCGAAUGGAACGGAACUGUGUGCCACCAGAGCUGACGCACGCUGUGCAACGAUUUUUACGAUGCAUUACGUCAUCGUGAUUGCGUCCAGAAUGCGCGUGAUGUACUGAUGUCAGGAAAUACAGGCAAUCGACCGGACGCAACGGAAUUGCGUCUGUCGUUAGUCGACGACCAUUUUUGAGCACGUGAGCAACCAUGGCGGCAAUCGUUAAAUCAACACACUGGUUGCAGCUUGCUGCUGCUGUCUGCUUUAUCUCACUCUACCUGUUUUUGGGGGAAUCGACGGAUCUGCUGCCUUUUCUUUGGCACUACAACUUCGAGAGGCGUUGGCCCGUCAUUUGCUGGCUUCUUUGACUUGAUAUCCCGGAGGCCGGCCCCGAUCAGUCAGUCAAUCCUCGAUACCGGAGGAACGCUCCGGAGAUAGGAUUUUUACAAACUGUGGACGACGGAGCGCAAUAAUGGAGCGAAUUAUCGCGAAUUUCAUCCCCUCGUCGUGUAAGGAAGACGACGGUACGCACACAUCUUUCAUAUCUGCUCACCUCUUCCCUGCGAUCGGUCUUCACCUGAUGAUGUCCGCGGCACAAUGAGUGCGUGUCGGUUAUGUGUCUAGCUUCCCUACCCUGUUUUACGGUCAGUGUUGAUGGUUGGCGGAGGAUUUUGAAGGAAGGUUCGCUCGGAAAAGCCCAAGCAAGCGUGAAGAGGAUGCUGAUAGUCGCGAGAAGAUGGGCUCUCAUCGAUGGUUUGGGUUUUGGUUCCGGAUUUUGGGCAGCGGGAAGGCGGGUUCCUGGUGGAGGCGAGGCGGCGGGCGGUGCUGGAGGAGAUGGUUUUGCUCGGCAAGCGAGAAGAACCUCCUGUACACGGACGGUGUCGGAGCAGGUGGCCAUGCGAGAAGAGAGCAAACACCCAACGACGUUUUCCAGGCGGAGUUUUCGGGAGAUGAUCGGCGAGAUGUUUUACGUUUUCAAUCAUGGUUUAAAGAUCGGUGAUGUAGAUCAACCUUUUUUUUGGGGGCGAAUUUGCUAAUGCAACAACGUAUCCCGAAUAAUCAGAAGUGAUUUUUAUGUGACAUUUCUGAGAAUCUUGGCCAGAAGAUGGACAAUGCAUGAUUCGACGCACCUUUGCGUUUAACCCCCCUGCACGAGCUGAGAUUUCCCGGACAACGAGAUUGAAGAUGAAGAUGAAGAUUUGAUGAGCGACGAUUAUUGACCACCAAUCUAUCGAACGAAACAUCUUGUGAAGUCGACUGCAUUAUCUACGGAGAAGUUACAAUUUUUAGCAAAACGUUUGCGAUAAAACGGGCCUGCUGAUUUGGUUGAUACCAACCAGCGCACACUUGCCGAACACAGUUGCAGAAACACAAAUGCUACACUUGAACAAACGACGCUUCAUAGCCCUUCCCUGAUCAGAGGUUUCUUCGCCGAACUAGUGCUUCAAGAAAGUUGUUCCACGAAGACCUGUUACACGUCGCAGUUAGUAAUCCAUCCUGAUACAAUAGAGAGAGAGAUAGGCAUUUCACUACAUCAAACAUGACGAAUGGGUUAUCUACACACCGUAUCUGCUUCAGUGCGCGCACGGGGAUGUUUGCUUCACCGCCAGAAAAUUCUGAGAACAGCAGUCAUUCAGCAAGAAUCGUUGCUAUGCACAAAUAUUCAUCUGCAACUUCCAUGACAACUCAUCGAUGUUCAAUCCAUUGUUAGGCGAGUCUUCUACUAGUUGACGGCCGUACCCCUGACUAAUGCAUAUGGCAUGCGUACCUGGAAAUCUGAAGUGGUCUGAAUGAAGAAACCGGUCGCUACUGAUGAAUCACACCAGACUUCGACCCAGAGCAGCUUAACCUACGCUUAGGCGUACCUAACGUGUGAUGUUGCUGAUGGCUGGCUCAUCCACUCUUAGAAUCAACAUGGCUAUUCAUUUCCUUCCGAGCUUAUGCUAGAGAAGCUCGUUACAGUAACCCUGUAGUCUGCGUGCCGCCGUUGCUUCUUGAUGGAACAUGGAUUGUUUUACACAAUCUGGCGGCCAAUCGAUCUCAUGAACCACAACGGGGAAAAUCAGCAAAGGCAACAGAGAGGUUCCCACUGAUGUAACCGUCUCGGCUGAUACGCGGAGACACACGGAAGUCUCACGGCAAGGCUGCUGUCAGACGAGUCCUGAUAAAUGUCACUCUUCUUCACCUGUUUCGCUGAAAAGAGUUUCAUAAGAUCGGCUCCCAUACUGGAUUCGGAGCACAAUUGGAUACCCCGACUCGGACGUUGGUUCGCAGAAUGGCGUACAUUGAAUCAGCGUGUUCGUCAUGUGGAAACGGUCUACUACCCCCUGAGUAAAGGUUUUCUUUUCCCCACCCUGUGAUGUGUUGGUGCGUUUCGGUUGUGUGGCGUCGUCGUCCCGACGCUUUGGUCGGAUUGCUUUGGAAGGAAGUUUCGCUCGGAAAAGCCCUAGCAAGCGUGAAGAGGAUGCUGAUAGUCGCGAGAAGAUGGGCUCUCAUCGAUGGUUUGGGUUUUGGUUCCGGAUUUUGGGCAGCGGGAAGGCGGGUUCCUGGUGGAGGUGAGGCGGCGGGCGGUGCUGGAGGAGAUGGUUUUGCUCGGCAAGCGAGAAGAACCUCCUGUACACGGACGGUGUCAGAGCAGGUGGCCAUGCGAGAAGAGAGCAAACACCCAACGACGUUUUCCAGGCGGAGUUUUCGGGCGAUGAUCGGCGAGAUGUUUUACAGCCACUGAGAUGUGGAUUACCCUUGUUUUGGGGGGACGAAUGCUUUGGCGCAUCAGUGCGCCGAAUGGCCAGAAAUGAUUUGAAUGUGACAUUUCUGAUUAGCCAAAGUAAGCCUGUGCUAGUUUGCGGUUAGAUGUAAAGCUUUUGAAGAAUCAUUACGUUUCUAAGCGCGGACCGCGAACUGAUGAAAGCGGCGAAUUGUCACAAACCCCUGCAAUGUUACAUCAAAGAUGCAUACUAAUUAUACUACUGCUACUACUCGAGAUAUCUGAAGAUACGAAGAAUGUACGAUCCUCUACCCGUCCUUUUGUAAUAUCGAAACAUCGACAUCACCAUCUACUAGUCAACAAAUAUUCGGCGCCAAAGAAUACGAACUAGCAUAGUCUACUAUAAACUCAUCCUCAAUACCUUGUUGCCUGUUGUUACCAAUUCUGGCGAAACGAGCAGAUGUUAUAAAGGACCUUCUUAAGCGCAAGAAGUAGUUUGCGUACGAACGGCGAGAAAACGCGAGUCUAAUCAGGACACACUACGCUACCAGGAGUAGUUUGCUGCUACUUUUUAAUGAACAAGAGCAAUCAUACGAAUCCAUCCAAAGAAAGGAAAAGUACGUGAGAGAUAUCUAGGAAGACGUUGAUUUUGGUUGUUGGGGCUUGCUUUAACCCCCCUUACUGCGCAAACUGUACUUUUGUUAGCGAAGAACGCGCCACGCUUACGUACCCGCCAAACGUAAACGACAACCGCUAGUAGAAGAAAAUGGUUUCGGAAAAGUACGCACUACAAAACCGCAUUUGAAGACACUUUGCCGGUUAAUCGUUUGUGGAAGAAUUGAAACAGAAUGGCUGCGAACACCAACACUAAAACGAGAGCAGCGUAAUCGUAACUCGGAUCGAAAUAUUUUUGAAACAAGCAUUACAACUGCCUGAACCUUUGAUCAUCUUUAGCUAUUUCACUCGAAGAACAAACAAGCAAAGUAUAGAAGAAAACUACGGCAGGACUUUGUGGGAAUGUGGGUGGGCCUAAGAAAAAAAAACAGUGAAUUAGUAAGAAACAGAGAGAAGAAUCUCAUACUGCUAGCAGCAUAUUGUUGAAGCAACUCGUUUGGAGUUAGUCAAGGCACAACCAAGUGUCAGUGUAACUACUUGAUGCCCAAAAUCGCUCAUAGCACUCUUAGGAGAGGACCGUACAAGAUACUGAUGAUGUUGAAGCAAGUGAAAUUGCAAAUCGCUUUGGAUGUAUUCCCCCUCCACACACACACACACACACAUCUCUCCCUCACACGACAGAGGGAUGUGCGAGGCAAGAUGGCGCACCUUGCGUGAGCCUAGUGUUGGAUUGUAACCAGGACACUACAAAAGCAAAACGAAAAAAAAAUGGCUACACAGUUAAAGAAAACGCUCUCCCCAGUGCAGUGUUUUGUUUCAGAAGUUUCCUAUGUUCUGUGCUUCCUCUCUUGUGAAGAUUGUUUUGUUGUUGUUGUUGUUGUUGCUACCAUAUCCUCCCAUUCCGUUCCCACCCCGGACUUCUCCACCAAAGGGGAUGUCCGGACUCGGACGUGUGGACGGUACAAGUUACCACACCCGGGGGUGUAUGUAAAGUGGGGAGGAUACAGUGAAAACAGUUGAAAACCAAAAAAAAAAAACACACCAAAAGACUUUAAUAAAAAAUGCAUAUUUCCAUUUUUAAACGAAAUCGUUCUUUUUUGUUUGCCCGCAAAACGUGUAGCGAUUGGAAUUCUAGUAGAAGAGUGUACUGUGAUCGUAUUAUAGAACUUUUUUGUCGUUGUUGUACACUUGAGCAGUGGAUUGCUUCCUUUGUCGAAAACAAGAGAAUGAACUGGCUGGCGAACUCUAGCGUGGAACAUUUUGUCUCGACAUGUGCUAUAUAUGCGCUACCUGCCAAGUACACACACCACCAUCGCGCAAUAUGCGGUAGCCAUUUUCGUCCAUCAUACUGUGUUUUUCGUGUUUUUUUUUUCUCUCUCUCUCUCUCUUGUUGUUGCACCGGUGCCUCGAAUUUUGUUUUUUACAUCCGAUACGCUCCAAUCAAGAGCCACAAACCUAUCAACAUACACAGGUCUACCAGAUAUUCCGUGUUGGCGCUUGGAGCCAUGGUGAACCUUGAUCUCGGCAGUUACUGGAGCACGGACCAAGGUGCUUUAUACGUGCAGACGACAUGCAAUAAGCCUCUCGUCUAUACAUAAGACUGUGCAGGGUCACAGCCCUAAACCGAAAGCGAAGGAAGUGAUGAAAGAUCUUGCCACGCGAGGGUGAAUGAGAGACCGGUCUACCUACCUAGUGCCUGUAACCCUUCUUACGUGUAAUACCUCAAACCAGCCCCACACUACUGAUGUGUGUGUGUGUGGUGAGGCCAUAGCUGUGACGACAGUAAAAAAAAAAACGAAGACGAACCGAGGAUUGGGUACAACACAAGAGACACAGGAACAGAGAACUGGCUAUACCUACAUGGGCCCACCAGCUCAGGUGCCAGAAGAAGCUCAGGUAACGUUUGUGAGUACGUUUGUCUAGCUACAGACAACAUCACUUAUACCACCCUAUAUAUAUAUAUCCAUCCAUAUGCCUUUAGAGCGCAAUGCUUACACCACCUUCUCCCCUCUAUCAAUUCUGUUUUUUUUCGAUUUUAGUAUCGGCCGCGCGUAGUAUGUGCGUAGUAUAUUUACGAUAAUGGCUAAUGUUAACUUAGAGCCUGCGGACAGAGCAAACUAGACAGACAGAGAUCGAAGAUGUGUAUAGAACACGUUUCGCGGACACAAGAAGAGCAACCCCGCUCACGGGGACCCACACUCCCCCACAAACCUCUCUACCCUUUCCCCCCCGGUAAAUCGCGUCCAUUGACUACUCUCCUUCCUAAAACUGGAGAUCCUAAAGCUCGAGAUAGAUCAGUAAGCAGUGAGUUGCGUGAAAACUUCCCUAGCAAGACGCGAAUAUAUCUGGUGGCGAACACUAGAGAGUCGGAUCAAGGAUCACUCCUUUAAAUCUAUCGAACGAAAAAGGAUGUACGGAGAGGAAUACCACGGUCGGUAAAAAACCCAAGAGAAGAAAACAUGUGCUACUAAUACGCGAGCAGGAACAAUCGUGAUUUUUGUUGGUGUGUAUAGAGAGGCUCGCAGACGUCAGAUAAGUUGCUCCACGAGUCGAUAUCUCCUGUUAAAGAAGUAGGCAAGUUCCUCAAACUCUCCUCUUUCGCGUAUAACAUCUCCACAAGAUCCACAAGACCCACCAGAGCGUAACACACCAACUUCAUACCGACAAGCUAGAACCUCCCUUCUAACCACACACUCUACACAUCCCCUACCGCCGUGGAACACGAUCCAUCGUCUCCGUACUCCACCACCUGCAUGUGACACACCAGGUGUACGGCGGUGUGUCUAUCCUCCCGUGAUAACACCACCGCUUACCUUUGUCUUUUCGUUUUGUGAAACCUCCAUACUCCACUACUCCUUUUCAACUGUUUUGCUACUACUACUUCCCUCUCCCCAUCCUAGGAGGUCUGUGUCUGCGGUCUGUUAUCUGAGGCACUAUCUGCGUGCGAGUCCGGAUUGGGGACGCGUAACCAUUCGAAGUGGCAGUUGCACUCCUACCUCGCAAUGGUUGCCGUGUCGAUCCGGGCCGAACAGCUGUAGUAGUUACCUGGAACGCACCGCCAGACACACCGACCGGAAGUAGCGUUUACUUUCUUUCUCUCUCAAGUAUUUCAGCCAUCACCAAGCGUGCGGUUGGUGCUGCAACACCACACACCCCAAAGGUUGUGCAAUGUGCGUGUGAUGUGUGACUGUGUGCGUGUGUAUGUUUGUGCUAAAGGAUACGCUUCAGUAAAUACAGCUUUCCGCUAUUACUUCAUACCAUAAGUACAACACCAUCACCAUCGGGUCAUCCGCAUCAUAGACAGUAGUAUCGUGUGCUCAGUGUGUCAAGCUCUCUCUCUCUCUCUGCUCAAAGCAACGUUCUGUGCAACGGAAACAACAACACAUACACAUAGCUACCUAGCAAGUCCGCUUUGGCAAUGCAGCUGUACACCCCCGGUUGGGUGCGUGUUUGGUGCGUAAUGGAGAAGAUGGCCGCGUUCGACGGUCGACGGUUACCUCAGCAGAGUGCGUCUUUUGCAGGUGUUCUGGUGUUUUGCUGUGUAUGUGUGUGUGUGUGUUAGUGGAUUACGCUUUUGUGUGGUGUGGUGAUUGACUCCUAGGGUAAUAGCGCACUAUUUCCUGACAGCUGCCCGGCUGUCAUCACCGUCUGGAUGCAGAGUAAAAAAAGCCGUGUGGGUGUAGUAGUGUGUUGUGUGGGCACUGUCCCUGCCUCAGAGCCGACCCGUAGCGUUCAUCCAUUGCACCUCGGAAUCUCCGGUGACGUGAAACGCUCCUAUGCGCAGUAGUAGCGGUACGAGUAUAUAGCUUCAUAUAGACUAAGAAUUUACGAAUAGAUCCCGUCUGUCAUAUGCCUGCCGCCUACCCCAAGCGUGGCAACGUGAGAGACAGGGCGUUCGCUUGCGCCGCGUGGUUGUGUGGUGCCGGCUGGCUAUCCGUGCUCGCGUGACCUCACCGUGUGUGGCCGAGAUACGCAACAAGGGGGAUGGGGGUUGCUCGGUGGACGUGCCGCUUGUGACAUGUGCUUGGCGUGUGUUGUGAUUCACCUCCACAGGCUUGCCCCCUUCCCCCCAUGUUCGGAUGCACACCGUGAGUAUUGUCCGCGGACGUGAUCAGCUGCCGUGGUCUGAACACCUUUGCACAGUCAUGCCGCCCUCAGUCGGAUCUAUACAGUGUGCCUAGUAUAGCGAGAACGAGCAAUAAUGAAUAUACCAUCACGACGACCGAGCAGAGAACAGUUACGCCAAAAACGAAAACCACCAUCCGCCUCCCCCCUCCCCCCCUCCCAUCCACAAUCAACAAACGAGAGCGUUGACAGGAGCAGGAUCUUAGUGUGUUUCCGAGUAGAGUCUAUAUUGGAGCGGGGAGAGGCCACCACAACACACACUCUACGAUUAGUCUGAUCAGUAACCAACAAAAAAAAAAAGAAAAGACCUGCACCUAACGCUCACAACGAACAACGGCCCCCCCGGUUAUAACGAUACGCCGCCGGUGUGUGUCACCGUGACACAACCAAUCUUUAUUUUACCAACAAAACCAUAAAGAGUCCGAGAUUUGAGUCCCGCUGCUGAUUCGGUGCAAGCGCUCCGGCUGUUGGUGUACGGCGCUUUCGAUCGAGGGGCAGCAUCUGCACAACACACACACUCAACACACGAGCAUAUAGACCCCUACUACCGGUCUUCCUGGUCACGGCACCACGGCAGAACGGUAGCGACGUGUUCGGGACGGGAUGUGACUGGGCAGGCAGUUGUGGUAGGCAUCUCCCUUUAUUCUCCCUCUCGCGUUCAUCCCGGGACUCGAAUGCACCACACGGGAUUCUUCUGAUCGAUGCACAAUUCCGAUGGCGGUUGUUUUGCGCGCGUCGCAAGAUGGUGGCACUACCGGCGCGCCGGGGCUCGGUCGCGUCUGAGAUCCUACCGUCGCGCAGUGAUGUCUGUGGGAAGCGAAGGAUCACCCUCUGAAACACCGAGGAGACGGAUCAGGACCCCAUCGGGAGGUGUGUGGGUGGUCGACGUGUGUGUGUGUCUGCAGGGGCGGUCUCCCCGCAACUCCAUCCACCAACACCCUGUUGCACCCGCGCCAUCCCGCAGUUCCUAACCCGGUUCCAGGAUCCUUAAGUGUUAAUACUCUAAAACAAAACAGCAAAAAAAAAAAACAAAACCAACAAAAACAAACUUAACUCUCUCUAUUACCUCCUGCUCCAAAUGUGAUGGAAUCCGCACUGCGGAUUCGCGGACGCCAUUUUUUCUUUGCUGGUGUGAUAUAUUGACCAUAUUACGCACAGGAUACGAAAAACACGCGCCAUACAUGGACCACUCUUUUACUCACUCUAUCUUUAAGCUCUCUCUAAUCCUAUAAAUCCUGCGUACAUAUCGUAAUCAUAAGCUGCUGCUGCUGCCGUCCGUCAAAAAAACCGCCAUCAACGUCGUUUACCACCUUCCUCUCUAUCCGUCGUAGUUGUUAAGAACGAGCCAGCCAAACCAAAAAAAACAAACUACAACUUUCGGUUUCAUCUUCUUUUUUUUUGGCCACGUGCAUUUAAAGGCGAUCGGUACGGCCGGCGACUGUUCCCGGUGUCGGUAGUUUGCCAGGAGGUUUUACCGGCGGGCGUAUACCUUUACAACGUCCCCCGCAGCCUUCCGCAACUGCACUGCACGUCUGCGGUCCUGUGUGACGGCCGCAUCGGAUUGUGUCGAUCGGGGAAGAAUUCUGUACGGGAAGCCAUUUUGUUUUGCUUUGCAUUUGCUGUCGCCGAUGGGAUGAGUCCCUGGAAUCGUUGUAGUAUAAUCCUACUCCCUCUACUCACAAGCAGCGUCUCGCCUCACCGUCCAUCUCUCUCACAUCUCGGAUAAUCCGGAGCACUUGCGAACUUCGCGCGGGAGUGUCGUCUGCCGUCCGCCAGAUUAUCGUCCACACCCUCCCGCUACCAGUGAAGGAUCAAACCUGUUUUUGUUUUACUUUUAAGUUCACUGUUUCUUAUUUUACCACACCGCAUACAUCCGCACAUCCGCCCUCUUUCUGCGGGUUGGUGCAUGUGUGUGUGUGUGUGUAUGUGUAAGUGUUCGGUGACCGCGCGCGCGCACGCGCGCAACACACACACGCGACUCCUAUUCUCCCUUCUCUGCGCGCGCAUCCUGCUGUCCAGCAUCCGUUACAAACGGUUUACGCGGCCACCCGGGGUGGGCAGGGUUCGACGGUACGGACUCUCUCUCGAUCAAGAUCGCUAAAAGACAACGACGCGCUUCCCGCUGCUGCACCUGCCCCUGCCCACCAUGCACGGCCACAAAAACCGACCGACGUGUCAACAUCAGCCAGUCGUACGUACCCGUGCCGCACGCGUUUACUAUAUUCGCUGCUGCCUCGUACACUUUUUUUGUUGUUGGUUUCCCACCAUGAUCUGGGUACGGGAGUAGGCGCACACUUGGUAAGUCUGGGCGGGACGACAUACGGCCACCGUCUAGUUGUUGGGAUGCUCUGCCAGGUGUGUGAAGUUGCGGCGGAGGUUUGACGUCCUUCCAUUCCACCUCCCCAGCGUAUCCUUCCGCCAUCUUUCAUCUUUACCUGAAGUAGUAUUAAUAUGGAGCUUAGUGGAGCAACUUUUUCGGACUUCCCUGAUUGUCUGUCGGGCGCCUUCUUCUACACUCCAAAAAGCGAUCACACCAUCCUGAACCACGAUGCGAUUAGUACCGGGAAAACGGAAAACCGAAUAGAACGAAACAAAAAUUCGAAACUGCCGAACAGAGCGCGCGAAAAUCACGGAAAGGAAAAUACGAAAUAUCAACUCCAACUUCAACCCGCGGGAACAAAACACACAGAGAACGCGCGCGAUAAUAUAUCAUUGAUGAACCAUGAAAGAAGCGAGAGAAACUAAAGAAAAUACUCAAAGAAACAAACAAACAAACAAAAACCCCUUUAAACUAUAUACCCGAUAAAGCAAAGCAACCCGAUAAAGAAACAAACCCGCGCGGAAGCGAACAGCCGGAUUCGCUCACUCAUAAAUAAAGAAAACACUAAAUUAAAGGACAUGUGGGACGAGGGCGGGCUAAAAACAAACAAAUAAUAAUAUUGCAACUACUAUUAGCGAUCGCGCUUCUCGACACGUUAAUAUGGUUAAUAAAUGUUUGCUUUUGUUUACG